UUUUUUUUUUUUUUUUUUUUUUUUUUUUUUUUUUNNNNNNNNNNNCACCUAUGGAGGUUCCCAGGCUAGGGGUUGAAUGGAAGCUGUAGCUGCUGGCCUCCACCACAGCAUCACCAGAUCCAAGUCAUACCUGUGACCUACACCACAGUUCACAGCAACUCUGGAUCCUUAACCCAUUGAGUGAGGCCAGGUAUCAUACCUACACCGUCAUGGAUGCUAGUCAGAUUCGCUGAGCCACAACAGGAACUCCCAAAUUUGGUUUAUUAUAAGAAAUAAAAAUAUAGCUUAACAUCAAAAGUUCAAUAAAUAUAAAUAUUGAUAAUGACAGAUUAUAUGAGGAAAGUCAUAUAAUCAUCUCAACUGAUUCAGGAAAAACAUUGAUAAAAUCCAUCAUUUUUAAUAACUAAGAACAAAAUUGCUGUUAGCAAACUAGGGAUACAAAAUGUCUUUUUAAGGAUAAAGUACAUGUAAAAAAAAAAAAAUGAAAAAACACAGGGAAUUCCUGUGUGGUGUAGCCAGUUAAAGAUCUGAUGUGAUGUUGUGGGUAGCUCUGAUUCUAUCUCUAGCCAGGGAACUUGCAUAUGCUGCAGGUGUGGGCAAAACAAAAAACCAAAACAGAGAAUUAAUGGAAUAUUUGUUGCAAGUCUUCUCUCUGAGAUCAGUUUAUUAAUCAUCUUUUAUAUCUUCUAUAUCUUAUGAUGUUUUGAUAUUUUAAAAAUCUUGAUGGUCCAGGAGAGGCUGGCUUCCCAGGGCAGGCCAAUUCCUAAAUUUAGUAAAUAACUUCCUUGGGAGCAUGCCUCUCAUGUGAAAGCCAAACACCUCCUUUAUUUAAGGCUUACACACUAAGCCAAUAUUUCCUCUGGCUUAAGUCAUCCCAGGGCCAGGAACCCGGUAGCUAGAGACCUUAUAGCCCAAAGCCCACCAUUUAUUAUUCAGAUUAGCUAAUCUUAAACUGUUUACUCUUUCCUGACUUUCCCACAGAAACUCCAGUAAGGGCUCUGGGCCUGGGCUUUAACUUUCCCUCCUAUUCUGUCUCCUGACCACACGUGGUGCUCCUCACGCCUCUUCUCUUAGGAAAUAUACAUAACAAAUUCCUCUUUCAAUGGCAUUAACCUUCACGUCAUCACUUAGUCAUCUCCAUAAAUUAAAAUCCCACAGUUACAAACUGGACAAUCAGGAAAAAUAUAAGGAUACACAUCAUUACUAUUUCCAUUCUGAAUUUUAGUUGAGUCCUAGUCUGAGCCAUUAGAAAAGAAAAAGAAAUACGAAUUACAGGAUUAUAAAGGCAAAAACAAAGCUAUUAUUAUUUAAAGAUGAUAUGAUUAUGACAUACAAAGUCCAAAAUAACCUAUGAAUAUGUCAUUAGCUUAUAACCAAACUGAGCAGUGGAUACAAAAUCAAUACAGAAAUUAAUUGUUUUUCUAAACAUCAGCAGGCAAUAGUUAGAAAAGGAAGAAAAGACACCAUUCAAAUAGUUUAAGAAGUCAUGUCCCUGAGUUCCCGUUGUGGCACAGGCAGAAACGAAUCUGACUAGCAUCCAUAAGGACACAGGUUCGAUCCUUGGCCUCGCUCAGUGAGCUAAGGAUCUGGUGUUGCGGUGACCUGUGGUGUAGGCCAGUGGGUACAGCUCUGAUUUGACCCCUAGCCUGGGAACCUCUAUAUGGCAUAAGUGAAGCCCUAAAAAAGCACGCGCACACGCGCGUGCACACACACACACACACACACAUGCAAGUCAUGUCCCAUGGUAGAAAUAAAAAAAAAGGUGUAAGACCUUUGUGAAGAAAACUAUAAAAUUUAAUGAAAGAAAAUAAAGGCAAGUUAAAUGAACCAUUUUUAGGGAUCUGAUGAGUCAACACCAACAAAAGGAAAAAGGAGGAGAAGGAAGAGAGAGGAAGGGAAAGAAAAAGGAAAAGGGGAGUUCCCAUUGUGGCUUAGUGAUAACGAACCCAGCUGGUAUCAUGAGGCCAUGGGUUCGAUCCCUGGCCUUGCUCAGUGGGUUAAGGAUCUGGUGUUGCUGUGAGCUGUGGUGUAGGUUGCAGACAAAGCUCAGAUCCCCUGUUGCUGAGGCUGUGGUGUAGGCUAGCAGCUACAGCUCUGAUUCGACCCCUAGCCUGGGAACUUCCAUAUUCUUUGGGUGCAGUCCUAAAAAGACAAAAAAAAAAAAAAAAAAAAAGAGAGAGAGAGAGAAUAAAAAAAGGAAAUAAAGGAGAGAAACUGGACCCAUAAUCAACAACAUGAUAGUUCAAUUUUAUAUAAAAUGUAGGUCUCAAUGUCAAAUGCAAAACAAUAAAGCUCUCUGAAGAUAAUCUAGGAGAAUAUCUUUAUGCUCACAGNNNNNNNNNNNNNNNNNNNNNNNNNNNNNNNNNNNNNNAAGAUAUUUUAAAAUAAGCCACAGGAAAUAAAAAGGAUUGCUAGGAGUUCCCAUCAUGGCUCAGUGGUUAACGAAUCUGACUAGGAACCAUGAGGUUGCAGGUUCGAUCCCUGGCCUUGCUCAGUGGGUUAAGGAUCCAGUGUGGCCAUAAGCUGUGGCAUAGGUUGCAGACGUGGCUUGGAUCCCGCAUUGCUGUGGCUCUGGCAUAGGGCGGCGGCUACAGCUCCGAUUAGACUCCUAGCCUGGGAACCUCCAUAUGCCGCAGGAGCGGCCCAAGAAAUGUCAAAAAAAAAAAAAAGGAUUGCUAAAUUUUGCUACAUGGGUCAGAAGACAUAUUAAGACAGUUCAGAGAAGGAAAAAGAAAGUCACGGACAGAAGAAAAAACACUUGCAACAUCUAACAAAGGGCUCAUAUCCAAAUGUAAAAAGAACUUCUACAAUUCCAAAACAAAAACCAAAAAAACCAACCAGACAGUCCAACAGAAAAAUGGAAAAGACUUGAAAUGACAAUUCACAAAAGAGGACGUCGAAAUGGCCAUUAAACAUAUGUAAUAACAUCCAGACUCAUUAGUAAUCAAGAUCAUGAAAACUAAAACUACAGUGAGGUACAAUUACCUAUAGGAUUGGGUAAAAUUUAAAUUCAACCAUAAGAAGUGUUGGCCAAGAUGUGGAACAACAGGAAAUUUCAUAUACUGCUUGUGGGGUGGUGGGUGAAACUGUUUGGCAUUAUCCAAAAGUUGUAGAUCUGCAUAUCCCUUGACAGAAAUUUCCUCUCCAAAGUAUAAGAAAUGUCUGCUGUGUUCACCAGGAUACAUGUACAAGUUUAUCUCAAGAUUAAUUGAAAUAGCUGGAAAAGUAUAAAGUAAAGCAGGGGGAUGAUUACCAUAAAAUUCAAGAGAGUUGUUACUGGAGGGGUAUGUGAUUCGGUCAGGGCAUUUCUGGGAUUUGGCUAGGGUCAAGAAGGUAGGGGGAGGAGUUCCUGUUGUGGUUCAGUGGAAAUGAAUCUGACUAGUAUCCAUGAGGAUGCGGUAUGAUCCCUGACCUCGCUCAGUGGGUUAAGGAUCCCUUGUUGCCAUGAGCUGUGGUGUAGGUCACAGAUGUGGCUUGGAUCUGGCAUUGCUGUGGCUACAGCUCUGAUUCGACCCCUAGCCUGGGAACCUCCAUAUACUGCAGUUGCGGCCCUAAAAAGACAAAAACAAAAACAAACAAACACCCCCCCCCAAGAAAAAAAACAAAAAAGGUAGUGAGAUACAAAAUUUAUUUGCAUCCAUGCCUAAAUUGAUGACUACAACAGAGUUAUGGAAUGGAAUGUUCUUUCACACCAUAGACUUAACCCCAAGGCAAUGAGAUACAGGGCAGAAAGAGAAAAAAAGGCUAAGUGGAACAGAUAAGGAUCCCUCUUAGGAGGCAGAGGGCAGCUGUCUAGUCAAAGGAUCACACGAAAGUCUUGAAGGGAUACCAAUAAAGGGAGCCAUGGUGUUGGUACUGAAUAAAAUGUUAUGUACCUCACAAUUUUUCCUCAGACUCAUCUUGCACAGGAGGUAAUCAUACAACUAGAUAUUUUAGGAUACUGUAGACUCAAAGUGUUCAUAUAUUACCUGAGAGAGAUAUGUUACUGAAUUGUAUACUUAAUUUGUAUUUCUCUUCAUAUAAUUUAUAGUAAAAAUGAGUCCUUAAAUGUAUAUAAAAUGAGAUUUAUUUGUAUCCUUUGAAUAAUUUUCACAUAAACUAAUUCACAUUUGAGAGAAAAAUUCUUUGAAAGAUCAGACCAUUCUGAUUGUUGGUUCAGGGACUUUGAUCAACCAUCACCACAGCCCUUAGGAUCAUGGCUCUGGUCUCUUCAGGCAGAACAAUUUCCUCAGCUCCAGUGGUGAAGCUGGAGCCCAGUAUGAGGUCUUCCUAGCCACAAGAGGGCAGAAAUCACGCACAUAACACUUUAAAAAUUUUUGAAUCUGCUCCUGUGCUGUCCAUAGCCUAAGACUUAGCGAAAGGGUUAGGUCAAAGCCAAGGUCAACAGGUAUGGUAAACGACUACUUAAAAGAACUUUUUGGUUAUAAGCUUUGAAGAAGACAGUUUAUCAAUAUUGCUAAACUACCCGGCAUUUUCUUUUCUGCUUUCUCUUCUAUUGAUUUUUCUCCUUGAUUUCCUCAAGGUCUGUGUGGGCUUUCCUGUGGGCUUCAGAAUAGUAGGAAAUAUUUGGUGUUACUUGGGUAGGUGGGGGUGUGACAGGGUGGAUGUGAGAGGGAGGAAGAGAAUGGUCAUCUGCAUAUGGCUGUUGCUGCAGCUGAACUCAGAAACGAAAUGACAGAAAUAAUGAGGAAAAUAAUAGUGGCUUUAAAAAUGAUUUGGCAGCAGUUUUAUUUGUUGUGCAAUAAAAUGGCUGGCCUGUGGCUGUAUAUGUAGAUUUAGGAGUAAACUUCCAAAGCAUGCUCAGGAGGCAUGCAUGGUAAUCCUAUUAUCUGAUAACAGGAUUUGUGCACAUACCUCCCACAUGCAGCAUCAGUAACCCACCCUUUUAGUAGUGCUGUGAAAUGCAAUUUGUGUGCAGAUGAAAAGUUUACAGAACAUGGGCCUGUGCCAUGAAGCUCAACAAAGCCAGGAUGCUGUGUGGCAAGGUUUCUGAACCCAACCCCUGUUGCUCCUGCUGUCUCCCUCCUUAUUGAUUUCUGUCCCUUGUCCAAGUGGGCUUUGUGAUGGUUUGCAUCGAACCAGAAACUUGCAAAAUGAGCUAAUCAAACAGGUGCAGCAGAAACCAGCCCUGAAUUUCUGGGAUGCUUUAAAGUCAUGCAAUACAUGGAAGGUGGAGAGACGACUGUGUCAAACAAAUGUUGGCAGAAUGUACAGGGUAAGGAGGUCAAACAACAUGAAUUUUGGGUAGUCAUUCCACAGAAACAUCCAUAGAAAUACGUAAAGCAAAAGUUAGACAGGAGUUCCCUUGAGCUGCUGCAGGUUAAGGAUCCAGUGUUGUCAAUGCAGCAGCCAGGGUCACAGCUGUGGCACAGGUUUGAUUCCUGGGCUGGGAACUUCCACAUGCCUCAGACUUGGCCAAAAAAAAAAAAAAGAAAAAAAAGAAAAAAA
ensembl:lncRNA